GACGAACCGUGCAAACGUUGUUCGGAAUCACUGGGCUUAAAGGGUGCGUAGGCGGGCGGUCAAGUCAGGGGUGAAAUCCUCCAGCUCAACUGGAGAACAGCUUUUGAUACUGGCCGUCUCGGAGGGGGGUAGGGGCAUGUGGAACUUCCGGUGGAGCGGUGAAAUGCGUAGAUAUCGGAAGGAACGCCGGUGGCGAAAGCGACGUGCUGGACCCCUUCUGACGCUGAGGCACGAAAGCCAGGGGAGCAAACGGG
rnacentral:rRNA from 1 species